GGGACAUUAACCGCGAGGAUGGUGUUGCAGAAAUUGCAGUGGACAUAGCAGACAUGCUCCGGCGGUGCGAGCUGCGACGUCAUCUCUGAUCUCUCCUUGUGCAUCAUCUGGGAGGAGGUGGGAGAGGAGGAAAGAGAGAUAAUUUGAAGAGAAUGGUAUGGGUAUUGUAGCAGUGGGGGACAAACAAGGAGGGGUAACAGUAGAAGCUACAGAAAUAAAGGAGUAAGUUUUGGGGGGUGGUUUUGUGGGAGAGAGGGAAGGAGACUACUGAAGGAGGUGGAAGAGGUAUGAUUGAAUGAAUGAGUGGGUGAGAGUCUGCU
rnacentral:misc_RNA from 1 species